GACGAACCGUGCGAACGUUGUUCGGAUUCACUGGGCUUAAAGGGCGCGUAGGCGGGCGGUCAAGUCAGGGGUGAAAUCUUUCGGCUCAACCGGAAAAGUGCCUUUGAUACUGGCCGUCUCGAGGGAGGUAGGGGCAUGCGGAACUUCCGGUGGAGCGGUGAAAUGCGUAGAUAUCGGGAGGAACACCGGUGGCGAAAGCGGCGCGCUGGACCCCUUCUGACGCUGAGGCGCGAAAGCCAGGGGAGCAAACGGG
rnacentral:rRNA from 1 species